rnacentral:lncRNA from 1 species
UUCAAAUCGGCAAUAGACCACCCUAAGGCUCCUUUAUGAUUCUUUAAAACAUCAAUUAAUUUUCCUUCUUGGGUAUGAUCAAGUCCAGACGAGAUGAUUACAGGAAAAGUAUCUUCGGGUCCAAGAAAAGCAUACUUAAGUUCCUUUGGUAAGGAUUUCAAUUCGAGCUUGGGUGCUUGCUCAUGGGAUGGUUCUAUUUUCACCUCUCGAGGCGACAAUCUCUCAAAUUCUUCUUCUUUUGGUCUCCACCCAUUGACCAUCUUGAUAUCUAGAUUAUCCACAAUAGGUGUGCUGACAAAUUAUUACCAUUGGUUCCAUUAGGACACCAAUCAAUUAAGCUAUCAUUGAAUGGGUCGUUAAUUGCUUUAGCUAACAAAUAAUCUUCUGCGAUGGUUUCAACCCAAUCAACCUCCUUACUCUCUUCGGAAUCAUUGGGUUGUUUGCACACAUUAAAAAUGUUCAGUUCUAAGGUCA